GGGGCCGAGUAGAACGCUUGCACAGGCUACGCCCGUAGAAGGCGCAGAAUCACAGCGAUGGACGGGGGUUCAAUUCCCCCCAUCUCCACCA
rnacentral:tRNA from 1 species